UGAUUGCAAGAGACGUCUUAGCCAUGCCAGUUUCCACAGUUGCUUCAGAAUCGGCAUUUAGUACUGGAGGAAGGGUGUUAAAUAAUUAUAGGAGUUCUCUAACACCGAUGACAGCUGAAGCGUUAAUUUGUACCCAAAAUUGGCUCCGAAACUCUCCAAAACUUGUCCUUGAGGAACUCAUCGAGGAAUUGGAGAAGUUGGAAUUAGAAGUUGCACCCACUCGUGAUCCCAAUGAAGAAGAUUCUGGUGUUGAGUCUGAUUAAAGUACAUCUUGUUAAGUUGUUAUGGUUGGUUUGCAUUAUGAAGUU